GACGAACGCUGGCGGCGUGCUUAACACAUGCAAGUCGAACGAUGAAGCGGUGCUUGCACCGUGGAUGAGUGGCGAACGGGUGAGUAAUACGUGAGUGACCUACCUUUGACUCUGGGAUAAGCCUGGGAAACUGGGUCUAAUACCGGAUACGACCAAUCUCUGCAUGGGGUGUUGGUGGAAAGCGUUAUGGAGUGGUUUUAGAUGGGCUCACGGCCUAUCAGCUUGUUGGUGAGGUAAUGGCUUACCAAGGCGACGACGGGUAGCCGGCCUGAGAGGGUGACCGGCCACACUGGGACUGAGACACGGCCCAGACUCCUACGGGAGGCAGCAGUGGGGAAUAUUGCACAAUGGGCGCAAGCCUGAUGCAGCGACGCCGCGUGAGGGAUGACGGCCUUCGGGUUGUAAACCUCUGUUAGCAUCGAAGAAGCGAAAGUGACGGUAGGUGCAGAGAAAGCGCCGGCUAACUACGUG
rnacentral:rRNA from 1 species